rnacentral:rRNA from 1 species
UACGUAGGGGGGCAAGCGUUGUCCGGAUUUAUUGGGCGUAAAGAGCUCGUAGGUGGUUCGGUAAGUCGGAUGUGAAAUCUCCAGGCUCAACCUGGAGGGGUCAUUCGAUACUGCCGUGACUAGAGUUCGGUAGGGGAGUGUGGAAUUCCUGGUGGAGCGGUGAAAUGCGCAGAUAUCAGGAGGAACACCCGUAGCGAAGGCGGCACUCUGGGCCGAUACUGACACUGAGGAGCGAAAGCGUGGGGAGCGAACAGG